GGAUAAUAUCACAUAUAGCAGUAAAAAAAGCUUCUCAACUCAAUAAGUAAUCAGGAUAGGAACAAAUAGUUUAUCAUACAUGUGUUUCAGAGACACCUUGAAUACCCUAGAUUGACAUUCCUUUGCAAAAUCUUACUUUCCCGCUAAUUUCUUCUGUUUCACAAGAUAAUUGUUUCUGUUGUUUGGGCCAUGGUAUGCAAUAACAUCAUCUAUUUUUUACUCCAGCUCCCUGUGGAAAUAGCAAGAGCUACAGAUGAUAAGCAUUCUGUGAAUAGAAGGAAGUAAUAAUAUUGUUAAUAACAAUAAUAAUAUAACUUUUGUAACCAAAGAAGAUAGGAAAAAACAAAUUGAAAAAUGAGGA
rnacentral:misc_RNA from 1 species